rnacentral:rRNA from 1 species
CGAACCGUGCGAACGUUAUUCGGAAUCAUUGGGCUUAAAGGGCGCGUAGGCGGCGGUGUAAGUUGGAAGUGAAAUCCCAUCGGCUCAACCGUGGAAUUGCUCCCAGUACUGCAUCGCUCGAGGGGGAUAGGGGUUUGCGGAACUACCGGUGGAGCGGUGAAAUGCGUUGAUAUCGGUGGGAACACCAGUGGCGAAAGCGGCAAACUUGACCCUUCCUGACGCUGAGUGCGCGAAAGCUAGGGGAGCAAACGGGAUUAGAUACCCCGGUAGUCAUAGCCUUAAACGUUGGGUACUGAGUUGAAAGGGGACCGAUACCCCCUUCUGCUGGAGCGAAAGUGUUAAGUACCCCGCCUGGGGAGUAUGGUCGCAAGGCUG